AGUGCCGAAGAGGAGAACAUAUAUAGCUGUUCCGAGGGGUGGUAGGUGUCUCGAAGGUUCAGUUCAUAAGGAUCCUUAUCUAGUUGAGGGUUAGUACUAUAUAUAUAUAUAUAGAAUAAUUCUAUAGUAGUGACAUAGGUUUUGUACUUAUAGUAUACAGAUAAAUUUUUAACCACUCACUUAUAUGACUUUUAAGGGUCAAUAUCAUUUAACGUGUAGAUGUAUGUAGUAGAUUAAAUAUUCUUCAAAAUUAAUAAAAAAAUAAUAAUAAUAAUACUGAGACCAAAAUGGAAAAAGUAAAAAUCUCUCUCGUUUCUGCCGAAAAAAAAGCUUAUUGAGGUCGAGGAUGGUGUGGUUGUUGGCAAUGGAGGAAUUGGUCGGCUAGUAAACAAGUUCUUUCACAAUCACUUUCUCUAUUGCUGGUCUUCCUCUCCUCACUGUGCGAUCUUUAUUGAUCUUCCAUGGCUUAAGCAGAUUUGGGGUGUUGUUUCUGAGGUCUACCACACCUGAUCAUGGCUGGCCUUCAUUAUCGGUGACCGAGUUUGGAUUUUUGCCGUUGAGUUCAACGACAGUCACAAUCAUCUGUGCGUUCCCAGUAUACGUAACACAUGAUUACUCAAAAGCUUGAAGUUUACACUAUCAAGGAAAGGAUUAUGUUGAUAUCAUGGAGUUUCUAGUUGGAAGAUAGAAGAUUGAGAAGUUGAGUGGUCUUUCAAGUGAGGGCCACAAAGCAGAAGGUUAUGUGUGUAAAUUGCCCCAGAGGAUAAGAAAGUUGGAGGAGAGAGCUCAGAGAAGGACCAAGAAAGCAUCAAUAAGUUACUUUCAGCUGGAUAUUUGGUAGAAAAAUCAAGAUUAGAAGUGCUGCUGCUGCUGAGUUAUGCAUUUUCAACUUUUUUUUUUCUUUGUUUCCUUUAGUCUCUUUCAUUGUCAAAUGGGUUUGGGAGUUGGGAGUUGGGAGUGCAAUGUGAUCAAUAAAUCGAAGGCUUUGUAGAUGCUGUUUGCUUUUCUUUUUCCCUUUUGUUGGUUGUUAAAGAUAAACUGUAAAAGACAACUAUGAAUACUUGUGUUUCUUAGUUUUGUUUUUUACUUUUCUUUUUCAAGUCUAGAAUUUCUAUAGUAGCAAAAAAAAUCAAGUGAUAGUACAUUGUUUGCAGUUUUUGCCUGCAAUAAAAGGAAAAAAAGCUUGUCUAUUUGUUAUGGUAUCA